rnacentral:lncRNA from 1 species
AUGGAUGUACCCGAUGACUCCUCUGCCGCCCGCCUGCUAUCCCUCCUCGACUCUGCCAACCUCCUGCUCCACCAUACAGCGCCCACUCACCGACUUGGUCACACCCUUGAUCUCAUCAUCUCCUACCACUGCACUAUCUCCUCCCUCACCAACUCUGAAAUCCCUCUCUCUGACCAUAACCUUCUCACCUGCCUCAUCUCUCACACUCCCUCCCCCUGCAAACCUUUGCUACUCCCCCACAGAGACCUCCGCUCUCUUGAUCCCAUCCAUCUUUCCAAAAGCAUCUCUUCCCACCUUGCCGCCCUGUCCUCACUUCCCACUCUCGAUGAUCAGGUCUCCACUCUCAGCUCCACCCUCUCUACUCAUCUCAACUCUCUCACCCCUCUUUCUCUCCGCCGCUCUUGCUCCACUAACCCACAGCCCUGGAUCACCUCCUCUGUCUGCCUCCUACGCGGGUAUGCUCGACCUGCCGAAUGCUGCUGGCGAAAGACCAAGCACCAAGCUGACCUCAUACAUUUCACAUUUAUCCUUCCCUGCCUUAACUCUGCCCUCUCCUCCACCAGGCAAAACUUCUUCUCCUCCCUCAUCGACACCCAUGCCCAUCACCCCCGCCAAUUUUUCCAGACCUUUAACUCUCUCCUUAGGCCCCCUGUUCCUCCCUCUCCCCCAUCUCUCACCCCCAGUGAUCUGGCCACCUACUUCAUUCCAAAAAUCAACACAAUCAGGUCUGAGCUCCCCAAAGUCACCCCUCCCUCCCCUCCCCCCCCACCAACCCUCUCCCCUACUUUCCCAUCCUUCCCUGCAGUAUCCUCAGAGGAGAUCUCCUCCCUCCUUUCAAGUGCCACCCCCUCCACCUGCACCUCGGACCCCAUUGACGCUCACCUUCUUAAAACCAUCGCCCCUGCCCUCCUCCCUUCCUUAACUUCUAUCUCUCUUAACCUCUCAAUCUCCAAUGGCUCCUUCCCCUCUGCCUUCAAACAUGCCCAUGUCUCCCCCAUCCUAAAAAAACCCUCUCUCAACCCCACUUCCCCUUCCAGUCAUCCCUAUCUCCCUACUACCCUUCCUUUCCAAAAUCCUAGAACGAGUCGUCUACACUCGCUGCUUAGAAUUCCUUAA